UUGUUUGUAAUUUCUGUUGAAGGAGUAUAUUGCUUUUAAUGCCUUGCUUGAUGUAAUAAUAUUACACAUCUUUAUUGGUUCUCCAGAAACAAAUUGAGUACCAAUUAAGGUUCCUCUAUUUCUAUUACAGCUACAUUCUCUCUACCCCGUCUUUACUCCCACUUUUCACUGAGAAGUAAGGUUGAGAUGUGGAAUGCAAGACACCAGAGAGGGAAACACUGAAAGGAUGUAAAGUGAACCAGAGAAUGGAAAAGAUGGCACCUAUACACUGACCACUUAGGGGAUACAUAGAAAACAACAGGGAAGAAAAAAAGAAAAAUCCAGGAAUAAAUAGGCUUUUCCAGGAAAUUGUGAUGAGAAAAAACUAAGGAUGGUGCAAGAGUAAAGCAUUAAAGUGUUAUUCUGGCUCAAACAAAAACACGACUUGGAUACUAUUCCCACAAUAUACCCCACCUUCAGCCAGCAAGUGAAGCCUAAGGUGUGGAUGGGCACUUGAAGACCCCUGUGAAGAAAGCCAGACUUGGUUUAGACCGGCUGGCAUGACUGGCCCCUCAACAUGUGACAAGGGUGGAUUGGCAGGCUAUUUAAAGCCAAUCCAUACCUCCAAUGGUCCUUCAUCAUUCAUCCUGUAACCUACCCUUCUAUCCUAUGGACAAUGUGGUUCCAGAAGUUAUAAAUCAAGAAAUGGCCCCUUAGAUACAUUUUCUGUGUCUGAUCUUUUUAUUUUAUGGUGGGAGUUCAAAUAAAUGCAUACCCACAAGAAACCCAAAAGCAGGAAACAAAGGUAACAGCACUUUCCCAAAGACGUUCUCAACAAAUGACAAUAAGAGAAACUCUCCCUUUGACUUUGGAGGUAGUUUAUCCAGUAAUCACUGACAGUUUCAUAUUCCAGCAAUUUGCUUAAUCCCGGUCCAUUACACUUCUCUGCCCUUCAUCUCAAAAGAAGUGGAGUAGAACAAGGAUGUCAUACCUCACAAAAGACAGUCUCUCUUGUGGUUUCUCUUAGGAGUUUUAUGGUCAAAGCCCGUCCUUCAAUUCCUUCCAUUUUCUCCCCAGUGGAUUUAUUCCAAAAAAUGAUUUAAAUAACUGAUUUUAAAAACAGAAUAAUAGAUCUUUAGUCCCUCUAUCUAUAUAUUAAUUAUGUAUUUAAGAGCCCCACAUGGCUACAAUAAAUGCUUCAUUUCAGUAAUUGGUCUGACAUUUUUAGAAAUUUAGCUUUCUUCUCAGGUACUGGGAGAGAAGAGCUAAAAUCUCAGGUGGCAUGGGCUCCUCUAUGAAUCACCCUUGACCCCAACCCUAUGAUUCUGCACAAUCUCUUCUGCUAAUUUUCCUAUUUGACAUAGGAGAACAGGAAAGUCACUUUGCAUCCUAUACAUUCACCUAGGUUUUCUUUGCAAAAGGAUCACAAAAGGCUCUGAAUCUGUCAAUCAGAAUUAUUGUCCAUAACAAAUGUUGGGGUUUAAAAAAUUGUCAAUUUCAUGUCCUGCUUACUGACUUUUUGGAUAACUGGAUAAUGGGGAUUGAUGACAAAGCAAAGAGGCAAUCAGGUCUUACAAUAAAGAUCAAUAUGGUUGGGUACCUGUCAAUACGUAAUGACCUCAUCACAUUGGGGUUUUUAUUGCCCUUUUUCUUCUUCUGGACAGGGCUUGCAGAGUGCCAUCCUCCUGAAGGAGAGGAAAGCAUGUUUUGGGUAGCUCUAACUGGGCUACCUGAAUAUUUCUGCCCUUUCCUCCAUCUGAUGGGGGGAAAGGCAAUGCAGCAACACAUGUUGCCACUCUUUCACCCAUAUGAUGAGAACAGGGACAAGGUCCCAAUGCACCUUUUCCUGUCUCCACCGUGUGAUGGGGGAAGAAAAGAGCAUGCACAAGGCAUCACAAGCACCUCUCAUGCCUUCUGUUUCACCAGCGUCUUUUGGAAAAACGGCAUGGCCCCAGGGGCCAUGGGAAGAAGUCCAGUGACUAGAAAAUCCCCAUUUUUGAUGUUGCAACCAACACUGCCACUCAUCCUGAUCUACUGUGGCAUGAAGCUUGUCAUCACUGUAGUAGUCACUCACUUCUUACCCAGAAAGGUUCACAUUUUGAAUGAGUUGCAAGCUGGCACUUCAGUGGAAUCUGUGGUUGAUUGAAGAGGUGAUUGGAACACAUGAGUAAAGACAAUGAAAUAUUUCUGGUUGUUUUGAUCAAAGGAAUGCUAUGUUGCUUCUGUCAUGUAACUCACUCAUGGUUCAGAAGACAUAUUCAGUGAGCAUUCAAAAGUUUAACAUAGGUACUACUGUCGUUUUACUUUUAUGCAUAGUCACAUUGUUAUAUGGGAUAUAUUGUUACUUUUUGAAAAGUUCCUUAGGAGUCAUCUGGUUAGAGAGCAAUGAAUGAAUGAAUGCAAUGAAUGCACAAAUGAAUGACUUGGAACCUGAAAUGAGUUCAUUCAGUACUUUUUUUCUGCAUGGGUGAUGAAUUUAAUUACCUAAAUAUUAUAAAUAAUUUUGGACAAAGUUGCUGCUAAACUGUUGCAUCUCAUUUUUUAAAGUCUUCUUCCAUAUUCUGAAAUUUUGGUUUGUAUCAAACAUGUGUUACUAUUAUUGUCAAAAUGGCACAAAUGGAGGCCUCAGGUUAUCAGUGGGCAAUCCCCCAUUGCAAUCCAAUUCUUACUCCAGUCUUUCACCCACUAACAUGCAAGAUUUAAGGAGGGAGAUGGGUUUCUCAUUUGACAGACUUGAAAUUAUUCUAUUUUAUGAUGAAAUGUUCUAUGUAAUCUAAUCCAUAGCAUGGAUCAUCAUGAGAAAAACAGCAUCAUACCAAAUUUUUGAUGUAUUUAAAUUUUCUACACUGAAAUAAACAGGAUGUAACCCAGUACAUAAUUUUGCAAAAUUCUCUUGAACAUUUACUUUUUAUUUAAAAAAACACAUUUAUUCUUCCAAAUGGGUCCCUUAGAAUAGUUCCCAUGGUUAUGUAAGACCUUUAUUAAAAUAAUUGAUAGGAAUUGUUGAUGACAUUUUCCCCAAAAAAAUUUCUCUGUAUAUAUUGUUCAGAGUGCUGUGCAUUUGGAGUUCAGCUCAGUUAUCUGUUUGUAUUUAUUUUCUCCCCAAGAAAGAAAACUAAACAAACCACAGAACACAUUCAUGCACACCAAUCUGUAUGUGAUCAUGGGAAUACAUAGAUUAUAAUCAAGUGCCCUUGUGUGUCUAUCCAGAACUAUUGCAAUCACAU